rnacentral:ncRNA from 2 species
CCGCAUUCCCAGGGGAGCCCCGGUAGGGGGCUGAGAUUCCGCCGGCACGUCGCGACGCGGAGACCCUUUGAACCUGAUCCGGGUCGUGCCGGCGUAGGAAGGGGAGAAGCGUGCGGC